GAUGAACGCUGGCGGCGUGCCUAAUACAUGCAAGUCGAGCGAACGGACGAGAAGCUUGCCUCUCUGAUGUUAGCGGCGGACGGGUGAGUGACACGUGGAUAACCUACCUAUAAGACUGGGAUAACUUCGGGAAACCGGAGCUAAUACCGGAUGAUAUUUUGAACCGCAUGGUUCAAAAGUGAAAGACGGUCUUGCUGUCACUUAUAGAUGGAUCCGCGCUGCAUUAGCUAGUUGGUAAGGUAACGGCUUACCAAGGCAACGAUGCAUAGCCGACCUGAGAGGGUGAUCGGCCACACUGGAACUGAGACACGGUCCAGACUCCUACGGGAGGCAGCAGUAGGGAAUCUUCCGCAAUGGGCGAAAGCCUGACGGAGCAACGCCGCGUGAGUGAUGAAGGUCUUCGGAUCGUAAAACUCUGUUAUUAGGGAAGAACAUAUGUGUAAGUAACUGUGCACAUCUUGACGGUACCUAAUCAGAAAGCCACGGCUAACUACGUG
rnacentral:rRNA from 1 species